rnacentral:rRNA from 1 species
GAUGAACGCUGGCGGCGUGCCUAAUACAUGCAAGUCGAGCGAACAGACGAGGAGCUUGCUCCUCUGACGUUAGCGGCGGACGGGUGAGUAACACGUGGAUAACCUACCUAUAAGACUGGGAUAACUUCGGGAAACCGGAGCUAAUACCGGAUAAUAUAUUGAACCGCAUGGUUCAACAGUGAAAGACGGUUUUGCUGUCACUUAUAGAUGGAUCCGCGCCGCAUUAGCUAGUUGGUAAGGUAACGGCUUACCAAGGCGACGAUGCGUAGCCGACCUGAGAGGGUGAUCGGCCACACUGGAACUGAGACACGGUCCAGACUCCUACGGGAGGCAGCAGUAGGGAAUCUUCCGCAAUGGGCGAAAGCCUGACGGAGCAACGCCGCGUGAGUGAUGAAGGUCUUCGGAUCGUAAAACUCUGUUAUUAGGGAAGAACAAAUGUGUAAGUAACUAUGCACGUCUUGACGGUAUCUAAUCAGAAAGCCACGGCUAACUACGUG